CCUCACUUGUAAAGAUAUUUUCUAGCUAGCUUAUCUUCAGAAAGUUUGUCCAAUAAAAAAUGCGUGCCAAUAGUUUCAAAUUCAUGCUAGCCACAUUAUAAGAUUAUAGUAAGAUAAGAUAUGAUUGUGGCCUUAGCUUGUGGGACCAACUAUUUAAGGUUCGAGUUGCUAACUUGACAUACUCCCUUUAUCCUUGUUUUAUCGCUACAUGCCCACAUAUUCUUCUCUAGAGAGUCUCGACCCUUUGAAAUUGAUUCAUAGCUUACAUAUAAUGGUAAUUAAGUUUUACCACACGAUCUUUAUCUAUCUCUCAAUGGGCCCAAUUUAUCAAAUUAUGUGCAUAUUUUACACUCAAUUUUUAUAAAAUGAAUGUUGAUUAUGUGACAAUUAAAGAGAAGAAACCAAUAAAGUCUUGGAUGAGGGCAUGUGGCUAUGUACAAUAGGUUUCAGGUUUCAAAUACACCUUGUAUUGUAAAGAGGACAAAAGAACUGCAGAAGGGUAAGGGAAGGGCCUAUGUGGGGCUAUAUAAAGAGGUUUAAACCCCCUUUGUAUGGCACACUGUAUCAGCAAUAAUCAACCCUUAAAAACACACUAAAAAAACAAUGAAGAAAUGGGUUGUUCUGGUUGCUAUUGUACUGGUAAUGGGCAGCAAUGGUCUUGCGGAAGGUGAAUUUUCCGACGACUAUCAGCAGCUUCCAAUUUCAAAUAUUUUACUCCAAGGAGCUAGAGCCGCAGCCGCAGCCGCAGGCGAAGGCGGAGGCGGAGGUGGGGUGGUUGAUGAUAAUAAUCUAAAGUGCGCUGUACAAGGGCAACGGUGCAACCCUAAUAACCCAAAUCAAUGUUGCUAUGGAAACCGAUGUAUGUUCGUUGGCCAUACCGUGAGUGUGUAUGCAUGCGUAUGGUGCCCAACACCUGGAUUUCCUUGUGGUCGUCUUGACCCGUGUUGCCCCGGAUUCACCUGCACCGCCUUCUUUUCCGGUAGCUGCGUCAGAAACUAGUUAUUCUUGGUUACGUUGUGGAUGUAUCAUCGGAUGUUAAUUCGUUCAUGAAUCAUGGCUGCGUUAUGUGUUGUAUGUUUGUCUUCGCCCUUGGUGUUAUAUUUGUGUUGUACGGUCGUCUUAAUUUGGUUUAAUUUGCUUUGUUAAAAUUAAGUUGUACUCUUAAUUAUUCCAUGUCUGGUUCUAAGACAACUAGGGGUAUGUUGUUGUUUAUCUCUGAAUAAAACAAUAGUACAUGUAGUCAAAUGUAUAUAUUUUCAUCUGUUCUUUUAAUAUUGCACUAUGUUGACUUUUACGCUUCUCGGCA